rnacentral:rRNA from 1 species
UACGGAGGAUCCGAGCGUUAUCCGGAUUUAUUGGGUUUAAAGGGUGCGUAGGCGGCCUUUUAAGUCAGCGGUGAAAGUUUGUGGCUCAACCAUAAAAUUGCCGUUGAAACUGGAAGACUUGAGUGUGUUUGAGGUAGGCGGAAUGCGUGGUGUAGCGGUGAAAUGCGUAGAUAUUAGGAGGAACACCAGUGGCGAAGGCGGUCUGCUGGACAGCAACUGACGCUGAGGCGCGAAAGCGUGGGGAGCAAACAGG